rnacentral:RNase_P_RNA from 1 species
UGAGCGAGCUGGAUGGUCGCCUCGGUUAAUACCGGGGAGGAAAGUCCGGGCUCCAGAGGGCAGGAUGCUGGAUAGCGUCCAGCGGGCGCAAGCCUAGGGAAAGUGCCACAGAAAAGAAAACGGCCCCUGCUUUGUGCAGGGACCAGAGCUGAAACGGUGGUGUAAGAGACCACCGGCGGUGUGGUGACACACCGGCCUGGUAAACCCCAUCCGGAGCAAGGCCUAAUAGGAGAGGGUUGAAGCUGCCCGCCGACCUCUCGGGUGUAGGCCGCUUGAGAGACGGAGUAAUCCGCCUCGUAGAGAGAUGACCAUCCUAGACAGAACCCGGCUUGCAGGCUCGCUCACUUC